AGAGUUUGAUCAUGGCUCAGAUUGAACGCUGGCGGUAUGCUUAACACAUGCAAGUCGAACGGAAACGAUACUAGCUUGCUAGUAGGCGUCGAGUGGCGGACGGGUGAGUAACGCGUAGGAAUCUACCUAAUAGUGGGGGAUAGCCCGGAGAAAUCCGGAUUAAUACCGCAUAAUCUCUAUGGAGUAAAGGGGCCCUCUUCUUGAAAGGUUUCGCUAUCAGAUGAGCCUGCGUAAGAUUAGCUAGUUGGUGAGGUAAAAGCUCACCAAGGCGACGAUCUUUAGCUGGUCUGAGAGGAUGAUCAGCCACACUGGGACUGAGACACGGCCCAGACUCCUACGGGAGGCAGCAGUGGGGAAUAUUGGACAAUGGGGGCAACCCUGAUCCAGCAAUACCGCGUGUGUGAAGAAGGCCUGAGGGUUGUAAAGCACUUUCAAUUGUGAAGAAAAGUUAAU
rnacentral:rRNA from 1 species